AUGGACAAAACUUCUCAUGGCCUUGGAUUUGGUGAUAGCAUCAACUCGUUAAACACUUCUCAGUACCAGAGUUCAGUCCAACAUACUGCUCAGCAUAGAGACACUACACUUGAUUCCACAUCAUACUCCAGCUUUUCAUUCACUAACACAAAAGCCCUGAAAAGGAAGUGGGGUACUAUGGCGGGAGCAGAAGGUACUGGGGAUGCAUUACUCACUCUGGGUUUAGGCCGUUCACCAAGUUCAUCUGACGAUAGCAAAGUAAGCUCUGCCACAGCUUGUGCAAUGUCUCCAUGCUCGCUAAAGGAGGCUGAUGAGGAGUCAUCUGUUGAUCUUAGCUUGAAUUUUGAGCUUUCCCUUGGCAAUGAUGUUGCACACUUCCAACGGAAAUCCUCUGCUGGUUUGGUGGCCAAAUCUCCUAAACUGGAUCUUCAGUUGAGUUUAUCCACUGGCUCACCUGAAUCUGCUGUCACUUGUACAAAUAUGGUGUCACCAAAUAUUCAUGAUGGCUUGGACAUACCAGUGACCUAUUCAUUACCAGCCAUUAUAGGGAAUGGGUCAGCACCGUCUAGUUGGGGUUUUGAGCACUCUGUGGUUUCAUCAUCAUAUGCGUCUGAAGCAACAUAUGCCUUUCCAUUUUCGAAGAUACCCAGACAAGAGAAUGGUACUUUGUCUUCGCCAGUCAUAUCGUCAACUAUGCCAGCAAGUGUGAAGAGCUCGGUUGCCUGUACUUCGGUGGUAACUAACCCUCAGCAGCGCAAUCUUAACACUAAAACCUGCCAAUUCCCUGGAUGUGGGAAAGGGGCAAGAGGUGCAUCAGGGCAUUGCAUAGCCCAUGGUGGUGGCAGGCGAUGCCAGAAACCUGGUUGCCAGAAGGGUGCUGAAGGAAGGACCAUAUAUUGCAAGGCCCAUGGUGGAGGGAGGAGAUGUGAGUUUCUUGGAUGUACAAAGAGCGCUGAAGGGCGCACCGACCACUGCAUUGCCCAUGGCGGUGGCCGCCGGUGCAGUAAUGAUGGCUGCUCCCGUGCUGCCCGAGGAAGAUCUGGCUUAUGCAUCAGGCAUGGAGGUGGAAAAAGAUGUCAGCAGGAGAAGUGCACCAAGAGCGCAGAAGGUCAUUCUGGCCUCUGCAUCUCUCAUGGGGGUGGGAGGCGUUGCCAGUUUCCAGAAUGUGCAAAGGGUGCACAGGGAAGCACAAAGUUCUGCAAGGCGCAUGGUGGAGGCAAGCGCUGCACUUUCUUGGGCUGUACCAAAGGAGCUGAAGGCAGCACCCCUUACUGCAAGGGCCACGGAGGAGGCAAGCGCUGCUUAUUUGAGGGUGGUGGAGUGUGCCCGAAGAGUGUGCAUGGCGGGACGCAGUACUGUGUUGCGCACGGUGGUGGGAAGAGGUGCGCUAUUUCUGAUUGCACUAAGAGUGCUAGAGGGCGGACGGAGUACUGUGUGCGCCAUGGUGGUGGCAAGAGAUGCAGGUUCGACGGCUGUGUGAAGAGUGCACAGGGGAGCACUGAUUUCUGCAAGGCGCACGGGGGAGGCAAGCGCUGCUCAUGGGGCCUGCCGGACUCGAGCUUCGGUAUUGGCACAGAGCAGUGUGAUAAAUUUGCUCGCAGCAAGACUGGCCUCUGUUCAGCUCACACCGCUCUAGUCCAGGACCACUGUGUUCAUGGUGGUGGUACAUUAGGCCCUGUGAUCCACCACUUCGCCACAGAUGUUAAACCCGACGAGAUGGAAGUUGCUGCAGCAGUGAAGGUUGAUCCUGUUUCGAUGCAGUCGGAGCCUCCAUUGCCGGAGGGCAGGGUGCAUGGCGGCGGGCUGCUGGCGCUGCUUUCUCGCGGCGGAAACCACACAGGCCCUGUUGGUAACUUGGAGAACGGCGCCUCUGUCAUGAUGGCGUGGAUGUGA
rnacentral:rRNA from 1 species